UCAGUGGAUCUGGCUGUUUUCUCCUAAAGGCCCGAAAUCUCCUCACCAUGCUCUGGGUUCCCCUCAUCCUCCUGCUGGGGACGUGGUGCACAGGUUCCAGCUCGCAGACUGUGGUGACUCAGCCGCCCUCAGUGUCAGUGUCCCCAGGAAACACUGUGAAACUCUCCUGCACCAUGAGCAGUGGGACCAGCAUCGGUGACUAUUACGUGAACUGGUACCAACAGAAACCUGGGAAUUCCCCACGAUACCUGCUGUAUUACUAUACGGAUUCCAGCAAGGGCCAGGGCUCUGGGGUCCCUGCUCGCUUCUCUGGUUCCAAAGACACGUCCAGUAACGCCGGCUAUCUGACCAUCUCCGGGGCACUGGCAGAGGAUGAGGCUGAUUAUUACUGUGCUGUGAUAAAGAGUGGCACUGGUGUGUAUAUCUUCGGCGGCGGAACCCAGUUGACCGUCCUUGGUCAGCCAAAGGCAUCUCCUACCGUGCACCUCUUCCCUCCAUCCUCGGAAGAGAUAAGUACAAAGAGCAAAGCCACACUGGUGUGUCUGCUGGGCAGCUUUUACCCAGGGUCAGUCCAAGUCACCUGGCAAGCUGACGGCAAGCAGAUCUCCACUGGAGUGGAGACGACCAAACCAUCGAAACAGAGUGACAACAAGUACAUGGCCAGCAGUUACCUGUCUCUGGCUGCAUCAGAUUGGAAGACCCAUGAGAUCUAUACCUGCAAGGUGACACACGAUGGGAAGAACAUCGAGAAGUCUUUGCAGCGCUCACAGUGUUCUUAACCUUCUGACCCUCAGAUGGCUCAGCUGGUCCUUGUGUCUAUCAGUAGAGUUUUCCCCAAAAGAGCUGGGAUCAGUCUGUAGCAUCACCUUAAUGCUGAUCUCCAGCAGCUCUGCUUCCUGUUUGAUGUGGGGGAUCUUUGACGAUCCUUUUGAUAUCUGCUUUUAUUCCCAUGUUCCCACUGCUCUCACCCCCCUGCAUUCCCUGGAAAUGUCCUUCCUGCUUUAGUCUCUGAUGCAGCCUUGUUAUGAUAUUAAUAAAACCAGAAACAUUCAGCUAUCGCUGUCUGUGAAGAGUUAAAAUUAUUGUCUCUUUCAAAUGUUUUCAAAAAGUUGUUUAUCAUGAUUCUGCAAUAAAAGAUGGACAUUUAUCUGCCAA